UACGCAGGGACCAAGCGUUGUUCGGAUUUACUGGGCGUAAAGGGCGCGUAGGCGGCUUGACAAGUCACUUGUGAAAUCUCCGGGCUUAACUCGGAACGGCCAAGUGAAACUGUCAUGCUAGAGUGCAGAAGGGGCAAUCGGAAUUCUUGGUGUAGCGGUGAAAUGCGUAGAUAUCAAGAGGAACACCUGAGGUGAAGACGGGUUGCUGGGCUGACACUGACGCUGAGGCGCGAAAGCCAGGGGAGCAAACGGG
rnacentral:rRNA from 1 species